GGGGAAUUUUGGACAAUGGGCGAAAGCCUGAUCCAGCAAUGCCGCGUGUGUGAAGAAGGCCUUCGGGUUGUAAAGCACUUUUGUCCGGAAAGAAAUCCUUGGCUCUAAUACAGUCGGGGGAUGACGGUACCGGAAGAAUAAGCACCGGCUAACUACGUGCCAGCAGCCGCGGUAAUACGUAGGGUGUGAGCGUUAAUCGGAAUUACUGGGCGUAAAGCGUGCGCAGGCGGUUUGCUAAGACCGAUGUGAAAUCCCCGGGCUCAACCUGGGAACUGCGUUGGUGACUGGCAGGCUAGAGUAUGGCAGAGGGGGGUAGAAUUCCACGUGUAGCAGUGAAAUGCGUAGAGAUGUGGAGGAAUACCGAUGGCGAAGGCAGCCCCCUGGGCAAAGACUGACGCUCAGGCACGAAAGCGUGGGGAGCAAAC
rnacentral:rRNA from 1 species